rnacentral:lncRNA from 1 species
AGAAAACCUUAAAGAUACCAUAUCUUAUCUGGUUUCGUUUUUUUUUUUGUCGUCUAGAUUUAUUAUUAGUUGCAAAUUAUGAGAACUGUUACAUAGACGAUUCUACAACUGACAAUUCAUUCCGACCCUUACUAGAUUCACGACACACUACACUUCCUUCUUCGUAAUCUUGAUGAAUACCUUCAAUGAUCCACAACCUGGCGACACUUCAUUCUCUGCGUAGAAUCCUGACGAACGGCUAUAAUUGUACAUUGCUGGAGAUCUCUUGCACACUUGCCUCCAUUAAUCUGCAAAUUUGUUAAUAAAUCGCAAUACCUGGGACUCGAACCCCAGACUUUUUGGUGUAGAAGCACUAAACAACCCUUGGUCAACCAAUGGGUCAAGGGGGCUUCCACAUCUGGUUUCGUUUAUGAUUUUUAAAAAUAUAAUAUUAUAUGGUUUAAUGAAUAUUUUAUUUAGGUCACCCGAUUAUCAAGGUGUAGACCAAAAUCGAUCUCUAAACCCUAGCUGCUCCUUCAAGAGAGAUUUUGGUCUUCACUCGAUCUACACCUUGAUAUAAUAACAUUAUUCUAAAUCAAGC